rnacentral:rRNA from 1 species
AAUCAACGCUGGCGGCGUGCCUAACACAUGCAAGUCGAGCGAGAAAAGGGGAGCAAUCCCCUGAGUACAGCGGCGCACGGGUGAGUAACACGUGGGUAAUCUGCCCUGGAGUGGGGAAUAACACCGGGAAACCGGUGCUAAUACCGCAUACGAUCAUAAGAUCUGCGGAUUUUGUGAUGAAAGGAGCAAUUCGCUCUAGGAGGAGCCCGCGGCUGAUUAGCUAGUUGGUGAGGUAAUGGCUCACCAAGGCAACGAUCAGUAUCCGGUCUGAGAGGACGGUGAGACACACUGGAACUGAGACACGGUCCAGACUCCUACGGGAGGCAGCAGUGGGGAAUUUUGGCAAUGGGGGCAACCCUGACCAAGCAACGCCGCGUGGGUGAUGAAGUCUCUUGGGACGUAAAACCCUUUCGACGGGGACGAAAGCCGCAAGGUUUGACGGUACCCGUAGAAGAAGCCCCGGCUAACUCCGUGCCAGCCGCCGCGGUAAGAC